UAAGGAAUAUUGGUCAAUGGACGGAAGUCUGAACCAGCCAUGCCGCGUGCAGGAAGACGGCCCUACGGGUUGUAAACUGCUUUUGUACCGGAAUAAACCUUGAUACGUGUAUCAAGCUGAAUGUACGGUAAGAAUAAGGAUCGGCUAACUCCGUGCCAGCAGCCGCGGUAAUACGGAGGAUCCAAGCGUUAUCCGGAUUUAUUGGGUUUAAAGGGUGCGUAGGCGGCUUUUUAAGUCAGGGGUGAAAGACGGUAGCUUAACUAUCGCAGUGCCUUUGAUACUGAAGAGCUUGAAUACACUAGAGGUAGGCGGAAUGUGACAAGUAGCGGUGAAAUGCAUAGAUAUGUCACAGAACACCAAUUGCGAAGGCAGCUUACUAUGGUGUCAUUGACACUGAGGCACGAAAGCGUGGGGAUCAAACA
rnacentral:rRNA from 1 species